rnacentral:rRNA from 1 species
UGAGGAAUAUUGGUCAAUGGACGAGAGUCUGAACCAGCCAAGUAGCGUGCAGGAUGACGGCCCUAUGGGUUGUAAACUGCUUUUGUUUGGGAAUAAUCGACAUUACGUGUAAUGUUUUGCAUGUACCAUUCGAAUAAGGACCGGCUAAUUCCGUGCCAGCAGCCGCGGUAAUACGGAAGGUCCAGGCGUUAUCCGGAUUUAUUGGGUUUAAAGGGAGUGUAGGCGGUUGGUUAAGCGUGUUGUGAAAUGUAGAUGCUCAACAUCUGACUUGCAGCGCGAACUGGCUGACUUGAGUACACACAACGUAGGCGGAAUUCAUGGUGUAGCGGUGAAAUGCUUAGAUAUCAUGAAGAACUACGAUUGCGAAGGCAGCUUACGGGAGUGUUACUGACGCUUAAGCUCGAAGGUGCGGGUAUCGAACAGG